rnacentral:rRNA from 1 species
UACGUAGGGUGCAAGCGUUAAUCGGAAUUACUGGGCGUAAAGCGUGCGCAGGCGGUUAUGUAAGACAGAUGUGAAAUGCCCGGGCUUAACCUGGGAACUGCAUUUGUGACUGCAUGGCUAGAGUUUGGCAGAGGGGGGUAGAAUUCCACGUGUAGCAGUGAAAUGCGUAGAUAUAUGGAGGAACACCGAUGGCGAAGGCAGCCCCCUGGGUCAAGACUGACGCUCAUGCACGAAAGCGUGGGGAGCAAACAGG